GUGUGCGCAUGCACGGUGCAGGUGCUGUGUGCAACACACCGUGCAUGCAUGUCGCAGUUGCUGCGUGCAUGGAGCUCCGUGUGCAUGCACGGUGUGUGUGCUGCAUGCAUGGGGCUCUGUGUGCAUGCACGGUGUGGGUGCUGCGUGCAGUGCAGGUGCAGGGAGCGGUGCAGCUGUGCAUGCACGGUGUGGGUGCUGCGUUCAUAGGGCUCCAUGUGCAUGUACGGCGUGGGUGCUGCGUGCAGUGCAGUUGCAGUGAGCAGUGCAGGUGUGCAUGCAUGGCGUGGGUGCUGCAUGCAUGGGGCUUUGUGUGCAUGCAUGCUGUGGGUGGUGCAUUACAGUGCAGGUGCAGUGAGCGGUGCAGGUGUGCAUGCACGGUGUGGAUGCUGCAUGCAGUGCAGGUGCAGUGAGCGGUGCAGGUGUGCAUGCAUGGCCUGUGUGCUGCAUGCAUGGGGCUUUGUGUGCAUGCAUGGUGUGGGUGCUGCGUGCAGUGCGGGUACAGUGAGUGGUGCAGGUGUGCAUGCAUGGUGUGGGUGCUGCGUGCAGUGCAGGUGCUGUGAGCGGUGCAGGUGUGCAUGCAUGGUGUGGGUGCUGCGUGCAGUGCAGGUGCAGUGAGCGGUGCAGGUGUGCAUGCACGGUGUGGGUGCUGUGAGCACACGUGCAUGUGUUGCAG
ensembl:lncRNA